GACGAACGCUGGCGGCGUGCCUAAUACAUGCAAGUUGAGCGCUGAAGGUUGGUACUUGUACCGACUGGAUGAGCAGCGAACGGGUGAGUAACGCGUGGGGAAUCUGCCUUUGAGCGGGGGACAACAUUUGGAAACGAAUGCUAAUACCGCAUAAAAACUUUAAACACAAGUUUUAAGUUUGAAAGAUGCAAUUGCAUCACUCAAAGAUGAUCCCGCGUUGUAUUAGCUAGUUGGUGAGGUAAAGGCUCACCAAGGCGAUGAUACAUAGCCGACGUGGGAGGGUGAUCGGCCACAUUGGGACUGAGACACGGCCCAAACUCCUACGGGAGGCAGCAGUAGGGAAUCUUCGGCAAUGGACGAAAGUCUGACCGAGCAACGCCGCGUGAGUGAAGAAGGUUUUCGGAUCGUAAAACUCUGUUGGUAGAGAAGAACGUUGGUGAGAGUGGAAAGCUCAUCAAGUGACGGUAACUACCCAGAAAGGGACGGCUAACUACGUGCCAGCAGCCGCGGUAA
rnacentral:rRNA from 1 species